GAUGAACGCUGGCGGCGUGCCUAAUACAUGCAAGUCGAGCGAACGGACGAGAAGCUUGCUUCUCUGAUGUUAGCGGCGGACGGGUGAGUAACACGUGGAUAACCUACCUAUAAGACUGGGAUAACUUCGGGAAACCGUAGCUAAUACCGGAUAAUAUUUUGAACCGCAUGGUUCAAAAGUGAAAGACGGUCUUGCUGUCACUUAUAGAUGGAUCCGCGCUGCAUUAGCUAGUUGGUAAGGUAACGGCUUACCAAGGCAACGAUGCAUAGCCGACCUGAGAGGGUGAUAGGCCACACUGGAACUGAGACACGGUCCAGACUCCUACGGGAGGCAGCAGUAGGGAAUCUUCCGCAAUGGGCGAAAGCCUGACAGAGCAACGCCGCGUGAGUGAUGAAGGUCUUCGGAUCGUAAAACUCUGUUAUUAGGGAAGAACAUAUGUGUAAGUAACUGUGCACAUCUUGACGGUACCUAAUCAGAAAGCCACGGCUAACUACGUG
rnacentral:rRNA from 1 species